rnacentral:rRNA from 1 species
CAGUCGCCGCGGAAUACAGAGGGUGCGAGCGUUAAUCGGAUUUACUGGGCGUAAAGCGUGCGUAGGCGGCUUCUUAAGUCGGAUGUGAAAUCCCUGAGCUUAACUUAGGAAUUGCAUUCGAUACUGGGAAGCUAGAGUAUGGGAGAGGAUGGUAGAAUUCCAGGUGUAGCGGUGAAAUGCGUAGAGAUCUGGAGGAAUACCGAUGGCGAAGGCAGCCAUCUGGCCUAAUACUGACGCUGAGGUACGAAAGCAUGGGGAGCAAACAGGAUUAGAUACCCCUGUAGUCCCUGUCUCUUAUACU